CACCGGAUGAUGUUAAGACAGCUGACGACGUGGUGACAAGUAUGGUUAGCAUGCUUUCCUUUAAAGUUAUUGUAUUAUUUGAUUUAGAAGCCACACACUCGUUUGUGUCUCUAGAGUGCACUAGACUAUGUAGGGUAGAAACACGGUUGUUAGACACUGAACUAUUGGUAUCUACACCGACUGGGUCAGCAGUGAGGUAUAGUAGGGUGCUCUGGGGUUAUUCAGUUGAUAUUCAGGGAAAAAUCUUGUCUGUCGAUUUGAUAGUGCUAGAUACGCAUAGAUUCGAUGUAAUAUUCGGUAUGGACUAAUUGGCAGCCAAUUACGCUAGCACAGAUUGCCAUUUAAAGGAAGUGAUAUUCAGACCUCCAAGAAAAGCGGAAUUCAAGUUUGUAGGGUUGCGAGUGCAAUCCCCGCCUCAGUUAGUUUCAGCUAUUGAGGCGAAGAGACUACUACUGAGUGGUUGUCAGGGAUUUGUGGUCUUUGUGAAGGAAAUGUCAGGGAAUGAAUUGAAACUCACUAGUACGCCAGUAGUAAAGGAAUUUAUGGAUGCUUUCCCAGAUGAGUUACUAGGUUUGCCACCUGAUCAUGAGAUAGAUUUUUCUAUUAAUAUGCUUCCUGGUACAACACCGAUUUCUAAAGUACCUUAGCAAAUAGCACCAGCAGAGUUGACAGAAUUGAAGAAUCAGUUCCAAGAUUUGCUUGAUAAGGGCUUUAUACAACCUAGUGUAUCUCCGUAGGGAGCUUCACUCCUAUUUGUCAAGAAGAAAGAUGGGACUAUGAGGAUGUGUAUAGAUUAUACGAAAAUUAAUAAAGUGGCCAUUAAGAAUAAGUAUCCUCUACUCCGUAUAGAUGAUUUGUUUGACCAGCUCCAGGGUACACUGGUGUAUUCUAAGAUUAACCUUAGAUCAAACUAUCAUCAAGUGAAAGUGAAAAUAGAGGAUGUAUCAAAGACAGCCUUCAGGACCAGAUACGGGCAUUAUGAAUUCCUCGUUAUGUCGUUUGGUCUGAUGAAUGCUCCUGUGGUAUUUAUGGAUUUGAUGAAUAGAGUUUUUUGCCAAUAUUUAGACCAGUUUGUUGUUGUUUUUAUUGAUGAUGUACUGGUCUAUUCGAGGAUCUCUGAGGAGCAUGAGAUGCAUUUGAGGCAGAUUCUACAGAUGCUUCAGGAAAAGAAGUUGUACCCUAAGUUCAGUAAAUGUGAAUUCUAGCUUGAGAAGGUUAUGUUUUUGGGGCAUGUCAUUUCAGAAGAUGGUAUAUCUAUGGAUCAUAGUAAGAUUGAGGCGGUAGUGAAUUGGGCUAGACCAAGGAACGUUCAGGAGAUUAGGAGUUUCUUGGGGUUAGCUGGGUAUUACCAUCGUUUCGUUGAAGGAUUCUCAGCACUAUCAGGACCUCUGACACAACUAACUAGGAAGAAUGCUAGGUUUGAGUGGGACGAGAGCUGUGAGUAGAUUUUUCAGGAAUUGAAGUAAAGACUUGUCACAACACCAGUGCUAACCAUCCCGUUAGGGGGUGAGGGUUAUGUUAUCUACAGUGAUGCGUCCUUGAAAGGACUUGGUUGUGUAUUGAUGUAGCAUGGUAGAGUAGUAGCGUAUGCUUCCAGGUAAUUGAAAGAGUAUGAAAAGAACUACCCUACCCACGAUCUUGAAUUGGCUGCAGUGGUACACGCAUUGAAAAUUUGGAGGCAUUACCUGUAUGGUGAACGGUGCAAAAUCUUCUCCAACCACAAGAGUUUAAAGUACUUUUUCACUCAAAAGGAACUAAAUAUGAGGCAGAGAAGAUGGUUGGAGCUUAUUAAAUAUUUUGACUGUACUAUCAAUUACCACCUAAGGAAGGCGAACGUGGUAGCUGAUGCUUUGAGUAGGAAGUCUGUGGGACCAACGUUGGCAGUUAUGGAGAUCCAGUAUCCGAUUAUGAUGGAUCUAGAGAGAUUCGACUUAGAUUUGUUCAAGAGUGGUUCUCAGGCUUGUAUUGCUAGUUUAGUGGUGCAACCUACUCUACAAGAAAGAAUUGCUGCUCAAAAGAAUGAUCCAGAGUUAGCAGAGGUAUUAGUCAGAGUGCAGAAUGGUCAUGGGGGGUGUUCUUGCCGAUGCUAACAUCAGGAAGACAAUUUUAGAGAAGGCUCACAGAUCUUUAUACACAAUUAAUCUAGGCAGUACGAAGAUGUAUAGAGAUAUGCGGGAGUCUUUUUGGUGGAGUGGUAUAAAGAAGAAAAUUGCUGAGCAUGUAGCCCAGUGUCCGACGUGUUAGCAAAUAAAAGCUGAGCAUCAGAGACUGGUAGGCUAGUUGCAGCCACUUUUUAUCCUAGAGUGGAAAUGAGAUCAUAUAUCUAUGGAUUUUAUUUCAAGACUGCCGUCGACAUUGCAUGGUCAGAAUGCAAUUUGGGUGAUUGUGGAUUAUUUGACCAAGACAGCUCAUUUUCUUCCUAUCAAGAUCAGCUACUCUAUAGACAGACUGGCAGAGAUAUAUAUAUUCAAGAGAUAGUCCGUUCUCAUGGUGUGUCAUUGUCUGUAGUAUCAGAUAGAGACCCACGUUUCACGUCACGAUUUUGGCAGAGCUUGCAUGAGGCUUUAGGAUCUCAGUUAUCUUUUAGCACGACGUUCCAUCCUUAGUUAGAUGGGCAGAUUGACAGGACAAUUCAGAUAUUAGAAUAUAUGCUUCAAGCGUGCAUGCUAGAUUUUGGGGGUAGUUGGGCUUAGUUCAUGCUAUUGGUGGAAUUUGUGUACAAUAAUAGUUAUUAGGCCAGCAUUGGCAUGACACCGUUUGAGGCACUUUACGAUAGGAGAUGUCGUUCUCUUUUAUUUUUGGAUGAAGUGGGUGAGUGGCGAGUUGUGGGACCAGAGCUUGUUCAGUAAGUGCAUGAUAAGGUUUGGUUUAUCAAAGAUAGAAUCAGUGCAGCUUAGAGCAGACAGAAGAGUUACGCUGAUACCCGCCGUAGGAAAUUAGAGUUUGAUGUCGGUAAUCAUGUAUUUAUGAAAAUAGCUCCGUUAAAAGGGGUUAUGCAAUUUGGGAAGAAGGGUAAACUUAGCCCUAGGUUUAUCGGUUCGUUUGAGAUUCUAGAGAAAGUGGGGCCGGUUGCCUAUAGGCUAGCUUUGCCACCUGUGUUGUCCAGGAUCCAUGACGUAUUCCACAUUUCUAUGUUGAGGAAAUACGUCCCAAACCCUUCUCACGUAAUCAGUUAUGGUGAAUUAGAGCUUAGUGAUUCACUAGUUUAUGAGAAGGUACCAGUACAGAUUCUGGAUAAGAAAGAACAAGAAUUACGUAAUAAGAAAAUUCCUUUGGUGAAAGUCUUGUCGAAAAAUCAUGCAAUAGAAGAAACUUCUUAGGAGCUCGAGGAAUAGAUAAGGCAGAGAUAUCCACAACUAUUUAGGAAAGUGUAAUAGAAGGUUAUGUUUCUUUUGCAGGUACAUGUAGUGAUUUAGUUAAUAAGUAGUCUUUUUAGUUUUGGGAGAAUUUUAUUUUGUAUUUGUAAUCUCCUAGAACUUGGAAUGUAAUCACGAUAUUCCUCCACCAUAAGUGAGGGUAGGUAAUAAAAUAAGUAGACCGUUUUUCCUUUGAGGGAAGAUGAAUUAUAUGAAUAACAAAUUUCGAUGACGAAAUUUUAUGAGGAGGGGAGAAUGUAGUGACCUGAUAGAAUUAUGGUAUUUAAAUAAUGGAAGAAGGAGAAAAGGAAAUUGUAAUUUUAAUACUUAAACAAGGCCUCAUCGACGAACAUAGGGAGUUCGUCGACGAGUACACAUGAGGGGCUCGUCAACGGGGACGUAUCUCGUCGAAGAGAACAUACUGAGAGGCUAAUUGCCCAUCUCUGAAUUUCGUCGACAAGAAAAAACGUUCAUUGAUGAACGAGCUUCUUGACCUCGUCAACGAAGGCCAGUGUAUAAACAUGUCUAAACUUCAUUUUUGGCUGAAAAUUUAUGUGCAAACGUUCCUUUCUCUCUCCUCUUUAGUUCCCUACACUUCUCUCUUAGUUUUUGGGUUCGUUCUUCUCUGGAUCGACGAUCUGAAGCCAACACGACACUCCUGGGGAAGUUCUCUACAAAUCUGCUAGAGUGGAUCGUUGGUUGGGCUAGCUUGAAUUCCAUCCCAAAUUCGGGGUAAGGCUUUUUAUUCAGUAUUUGAAUUUCCUAUAGUUGUAGAAAAUGUAGUAGUCAAAAAAAUACUGAAUUUUAGUUCUGGGAGAUGUUGAUUUCAGGGUGUUGAAUGGGGAACCCUGCGGGUGCAGGACUGAUUAUUUUAGGGGCUUUUCAGGAAUGAGGUAAGGGGAUAAACUAAGUUAGUUGUUUUAUGAAAAUAUACGUAUAGUUUUACAGCAUUUAAUUUUAGAAAUAUAUAUAUAUAUAUAUAUAUGCAUUAUGUUUGGAAAAUUACUACUAUAAAUGACGAUAUGUUUUAAAUAUGUGUAAUACUCAUUUUGUGUGGUAUGAGUAGAAUUUACUAUGAAUUACUGUUUUCUGGGAAAAUAUUUAAUGAUACAGAGUUUUUAUAUGAUAUACCGGCGUACGGGUUGAGGAUGUUCUCACAUGAUAUGCUGGCGUACGGGCCGAGCCUUUUACAUGAUAUGCCGGUGUACGGGCCGAGACAUUUAUAUGAUAUGCCAGCGUACGGGCUGAGCCUCUUAUUUGAUAUGUGAUACGGCAUACGGGCCGUGAUUGAUAAAAUACGAAAUGUUGGCGUAAGGGCCAAUGAUUUUCACGUUAUGUAUGAAAUGUGAUAUGAUGAUAUUGAAUUGACAAUUAUUAUUAUGGAAUAGCAAUGUAUCACAAUUUGAAAUAUGUUAUAUGCUAUCAGAACCUGGUUGGCUUGGUUUAGGCUUGCACGAACACGGGACCGUAGCUAUGUGUUCAUGAUCAUCAUGAUAUUGUGUUAUGGCUAUCCUACGGGGCAGCGUGAGGAUGGAUAGUCGAUUUGGUUUAUUGAAGUGUUGGCGCCCUGGUGUACGGACCAAGUCUAGCAGACCCAUCAUACCUGUAGACAUUUACUUUGACUUGACAAUGGUCGGCCAACCAUUGUUAGGUCCCACCUUCGGGCCACAAGAACCAGUUAUGUGGGGGAGCCCCAGAUAGGAGAGCGGAUAAAGCUCCGCAGAAAUAGAGUUCAGCCGUUUUACCCUGUCUGAAGGGUAAGUUUUUCGCUAGGGUCAGAUGGAUUUUUGGGUGACGACCCUAGGGCUGGUUUUGUUUAUUUUGGGAUAUAUACAAUGGAUGUAGUCGACUUUGGUAUUGUGUUGAAUGGUGGUAUGAUAUAUAUAUAUAUGAAUUUAUGUUUCCUACU